AUCGUUCCAUCUUCUCCAUCAUAAUAUAUCCUAAGUAAUGAUUCUCACUCCCUCAGUGCUACCAGCCACCACCACCACCACUAAACCCUCGCAAAGCCCUAAAACUGAGUUUCUCAUCUCUCAGAUUAGAUUCCGAUAGACACAGAAAUGGCUUUUCGUUCAGGUUCUCUGUCUCGCUCCUUAAUGUCUACAGCUAGGGCAUCACUCCGACCGGCGGCGCCGUCGUCAACCCUUCCCCGCCUCCGUCCGCCACCACUCGCCGCCCCUCGCGUCCAGUCCCGCCGCUUUUCCAUGCCUGCUUCCAGGAAUUUGGGGCAAUUAGGGUGCACACACUCGCUUUUACCUCUGGGCAUAACCUGCAUGACGUCACACAUUGCUGUCAGUGCGCGUGCUUGCUGCGAGCUGUCCCAUGGGAUGAAUGGAAAAGAUGGGUGAUGCACAAGGACAUCGAUCAUCCAAUGGCAAGAGAAGAAUGCUGCAUAGUGAUCCUGAUUCCUGAGGUACGUGAGGAAGCUGUUGGAUUUGCAUAGUGUUGCCUUUGAUGGUACUGGUGACCAAUAAUUUAUUAAUAGUGUUAUCUGCGAAGUAACGGUUGUAGGAUUCUUGAAUGAGGCUCAUCUGUUAUGCUAUUUUUAAUUUGUGUUAUUUCUUACUCGAGAGAAAAUCUCUUCUUCCUUUCCAAAUUGGAACAGCAUUCAGGAUUAGUUCUUGAUUAUUCUUGUAUCUGGUUUCUGGUUGAACUCUGUACAUCUGUUGCCUAUCUUUCAAGUAUUUUGAAAUAAUUUGUGGAUCGACCACUUAUCAACUAAUGCACUAAAUUAGUUCA